UGAAAUUGCAAAUCUGCCAUUUACAGAGCCAAAAAGUCAUUUCUUGAAUAAAAAGUAUGUAGCAAUGACAUCUGAUCACUUUUAAGUAUAUUCUGUGUGUGAUUGCUGUGCAAUUUUCCUCCUCAAAGCUGUGAAUGACUGUAUAUACUGUAACACAAGGACAGCACUCAACAAAGUGUCUGCAUUCACAAUUCGCAUUCGGCUAAUACAACAAGACAAAGUAGAGACUAAGAACAGACAAUAUGAGCCAUAAUAUGCAAAACUCCUUGGAAGUUCAGCAAGAUCUAAGAUCUGGAACUAAAAUCAGCUGAGUCUGCUGCUAAACUGUUAAACAUGAUGGCGAAUCUAUAAUAGUUCUAGAACUGGGUCCAGUGUUGGAUGUAAUGCAUAACACGUUACUGUAAUUAAAUUACUUAUCCACUGAAAAAGUAAAAUAAGGGAUUACUGUUCAUUUUUAGGUCAUUUAAUUACAGUUACUUAUAAUGUACUUGUGUUACAUAGGCUACUGUAAAUUAGUUCAACACUUCUGCUUAAAUCAAUAUUGAAUUUAAAAUCAAAAUUUGUCCUCUAAAGGUAAAAGUGAACGCUGCCUCUUUAAAAUCGUUAGCUGUAGUGCAGUUGCGCGUGAGUUCCCAACUUCGUUAGUUGGCUGUGUAGUCGCUGUCUGAAGAUGUCGGCAGAAGCGAGUGGCUGUUUUGCAGAAUGGAAAUAUUCCAAUUACUUCACUUUUUUGACACAGGGGCCCUUCAAUGGUUAUGCUGCUCAGAGAACUGCAUUCAUAGCUGGAUACGGACCCUGGGGUGCUGAUGAGGAAGUAAGAGGAUCAUAUUUAUCUCAUGUUACGGUAAAACAAAGAUCAACGGAUACCACAGCAGAACAACUGAAGUAUGUGAUGAGGAUAUGCAAAUCAAUUGGAAAACAAAGGAGAGUUACAGAUUGGGACUCGCCAGUUUGGACCAAGUGUUGCAUACAUACGGCCUCUGAAAGUGAUCAGCAGGAUUCAUUUAUAUGUAUAAAGAAAAUAGUCACAUAUAAAUAACAAACAUGUUGACAGCUGUGCACAUGUGGUGUUCUUUAAGAAAGAAAAAGGACAAAAUGCGCACACACACACACACAC